CCUACGGGAGGCAGCAGUAGGGAAUUUUGCGCAAUGGGCGAAAGCCUGACGCAGCAACACCGCGUGAAUGUUAAGCCCUUCGGGGUUUAAAGUUCUGUCAAUCGGGACGAAUUUUGACUGUACCUAUAAAGGAAGCACCGUCUAACUCCGUUCCAGCAGCCGCGGUAAUACGGGGGGUGCAAGCUUUGUCCGGAUUCAUGGGGCGUAAAGCGUUCGUAGGCGGCAAGGUAAGUCGGAGGUUAAAGCCCGGGGCUCAACCCCGGACGGCCGUUGAAACUGGUUUUCUAGAGUUGGAGAGAAGUAUGCGGAAUUCGUGGUGUAGCGGUGAAAUGCAUAGAUAGCACGAAGAACUCCGAUUGCGAAGGCAGCAUACCGGCUCAAUACUGACGCUGAGGCACGAAAGCGUGGGGAUCGAACAGGAUUAGAUACCCUUGUAGUC
rnacentral:rRNA from 1 species